UACGUAGGGGGCAAGCGUUGUCCGGAUUUAUUGGGCGUAAAGAGCGUGUAGGCGGCCUUACAGGUCAGCUGUGAAAAACUCGAGGCUCAACCUCGAGACGUCGGUUGAAACCGUAUGGCUAGAGUCCGGAAGAGGAGAGUGGAAUUCCCGGUGUAGCGGUGAAAUGCGCAGAUAUCGGGAAGAACACCCGUGGCGAAGGCGGCUCUCUGGGACGGUACUGACGCUGAGACGCGAAAGCGUGGGGGAGCGAACAGG
rnacentral:rRNA from 1 species